UUCAGAUUGCAGGCUGCAACUCGCCUGCAUGAAGUCGGAAUUGCUAGUAAUCGUAGGUCAGCAUACUACGGUGAAUACGUUCCCGGGCCUUGUACACACCGCCCGUCAAACCAUGAGAGUUGGCAACACCCGAAGUCGGUAGUCUAACCGCAAGGAGGACGCCGCCGAAGGUGGGGUUGAUGAUUAGGGUUAAGUCGUAACAAGGUAAC
rnacentral:rRNA from 1 species